AAUCCUCAGCAGCAGCAGAAUGCAUGUGGGCUGCCAAGGCUAAAAUAUUACUAUCUGGCUCUUUUCAGAAAGGUUUGCCAGCCUUGGUAUUUAUCAGCAAUGGAGGCUGAUGGAGAGGGGCUUAGGGCCAUCGAGGAAGUCGCCCUGUCCUUCCCCAGAGCUCAAAGACCACCCUCCCGGCUCUCAGCCACUUCCUUGGAGCAAGUGACAAAGAGCUAGAAGGAAGUCUGGAGAUCCUUUGCCUAGAGAAACAGCCUCCUUUUACAGAUGGGAAACUGAGGCCCAGAGAAAUGCAAAUGAAGUGACCCCCUGCAACUCUGGGAGGAAAGUGUUCCCAGCCCAGGUGAAUAAACCUAAGAAGCUGAAAUCAGUCAAGGGGGAGAAAACCUUUUAUUUGGAGGCCUGGUUCGCUGCCUUAGCUGCCACUCUUGCUUACACGUUUCUCCAGCUGCGGCUCCCUCUCCCCUGUUUCUCUCCCUUCUGGGUUCCUGCUCACCUCUCCACCCACCCCUUGUAAACACCUAUUGAUAUGGAGAUGGACUAAGGCCAGGCGAGAGAUUCUGGAAAUAUUGCAAUUUUAUCCACACCCACAUCCACUGGAAAUGCCUCACAUGGACCUGGAUCCAAAUUGGCUAUGGUUUAAAGGAAGAGAUGGAGAGAGGGCGAGUUUCUGAUGUCGAUUACACACUUGGGCUGGAAUCUUGGCUCCAUCACUUACUAGGGACAGGUAUAGAGGGAAGAUGCUGUAAUACCCAGGGAGGAGACAGCGCCGCACAAGCCCAGGAGAGGGGCCUGGAGCCCAUGCUCCCCACAUGCCCGGCCCUCAGAAGGAACCCACCCUCCCAACACCUUCCUUCUGGAAUUCCAGCCUCCAGAACUGUGAUGAUACAGCGACAAGGCAGCACCAGACCUCCAAACCUGCAGAAUUCAAAAACCUGUACUUUCAUUGAAACCAUAAUGAGAUGUCACAGCACUCCCACGAGAAGGGUCAAAUAUAUAACCCAAGACACCAAGUGCCAGUGAGGAUGUAGAGCACCUGCAACCCUCAUCCAUCAAUGAGAGUGUGGGAAUACAGAAGGGUAGGCAGCCACUUUGGAAAAAAGUCUGAUGAUUUCUUAUAAAAUUAAACAUCCACUUACCAUACAAUCCAGUAAUCCUGCUAAGUAUUUGCCCAAGAGAGAUGAGAACCCAUGUGUGCACAAAACCUGUAUGCAAAUGUUUAUUGCAGGUUUAUUGUAACUGCCCAAAAUGAAUCCACCCAAAUGUUCUUCAAGGUGAAUGGACAAAUCAUGGUGCCACCAUACAAGGAAUAUUACUCAGCCAUAAAAAAGGAUGAACAAUGAUGGUACAGCAGCGCUGAUGAACCUCAAAGGCAUUAUGCUGAGUGAAAGAAGCUAGACUCUGAAGCCUAAGUGAUUCCAUUUAUACAACAUUCUAGACAAGGCCAAAGGAAAACAGACUGGUGGUUGCUGCGGGCUAGGAUCGGGGGUAAAGACUGACUACACAGAGGGAUUUUCAAGGGUCAUGGAACUGUUGUAUAUCUUGAUUCUGGUGGUAGUUACAUGGCUGAAUGGGUUUGUUAAAACUUGUAGAACUAUAAACUACAAUGGGAGGAUUUUACUGUAGGUAAAUUAUA